CAGUCGGACGGAACUGUUUUGAAAGAUUUCUUCGGAAUGAAUUUGAUUUAGUUUAGUGGCGGACGGGUGAGUAACGCGUGAGUAACCUGCCUUCAAGAGGGGAAUAACAUUCUGAAAAGAAUGCUAAUACCGCAUGACAUAUCGGAACCACAUGGUUUUGAUAUCAAAGAUUUUAUCGCUUGAAGAUGGACUCGCGUCCGAUUAGUUAGUUGGUGAGGUAACGGCUCACCAAGACCGCGAUCGGUAGCCGGACUGAGAGGUUGAACGGCCACAUUGGGACUGAGACACGGCCCAGACUCCUACGGGAGGCAGCAGUGGGGGAUAUUGCGCAAUGGGGGCAACCCUGACGCAGCAACGCCGCGUGAAGGAUGAAGGUUUUCGGAUUGUAAACUUCUUUUAUUAAGGACGAAAAAUGACGGUACUUAAUGAAUAAGCUCCGGCUAACUACGUGCCAGCAGCCGCGGUAAUACGUAGGGAGCAAGCGUUGUCCGGAUUUACUGGGUGUAAAGGGUGCGUAGGCGGCUUUGCAAGUCAGAUGUGAAAUCUAUGGGCUCAACCCAUAAACUGCAUUUGAAACUGUAGAGCUUGAGUGAAGUAGAGGCAGGCGGAAUUCCCCGUGUAGCGGUGAAAUGCGUAGAGAUGGGGAGGAACACCAGUGGCGAAGGCGGCCUGCUGGGCUUUAACUGACGCUGAGGCACGAAAGCGUGGGUAGCAAACAGGAUUAGAUACCCUGGUAG
rnacentral:rRNA from 1 species